rnacentral:piRNA from 2 species
UUUAAUGGGAGUCACAUUGUGCUGUCU